UACGGGGGGGCAAGCGUUGUUCGGAAUUACUGGGCGUAAAGGGCUCGUAGGCGGCCAACUAAGUCAGACGUGAAAUCCCUCGGCUUAACCGGGGAACUGCGUCUGAUACUGGAUGGCUUGAGAUUGGGAGAGGGAUGCGGAAUUCCAGGUGUAGCGGUGAAAUGCGUAGAUAUCAAGAGGAACACCUGCGGCGAAGGCGGGUUGCUGGGCCGACACUGACGCUGAGGCGCGAAAGCUAGGGGAGCGAACGGG
rnacentral:rRNA from 1 species